rnacentral:rRNA from 1 species
CUGGCGGCGUGCCUAAUACAUGCAAGUAGAACGCUGAGGACUGGUGCUUGCACUGGUCUAAGGAGUUGCGAACGGGUGAGUAACGCGUAGGUAACCUACCUCAUAGCGGGGGAUAACUAUUGGAAACGAUAGCUAAUACCGCAUGACAAUAGGGUACACAUGUACCCUAUUUAAAAAGGGGCAAAUGCUUCACUAUGAGAUGGACCUGCGUUGUAUUAGCUAGUUGGUAAGGUAACGGCUUACCAAGGCGACGAUACAUAGCCGACCUGAGAGGGUGAUCGGCCACACUGGGACUGAGACACGGCCCAGACUCCUACGGGAGGCAGCAGUAGGGAAUCUUCGGCAAUGGGGGGAACCCUGACCGAGCAACGCCGCGUGAAGUGAAGAAGGUUUUCGGAUCGUAAAGCUCUGUUGUUAGAGAAGAACGGUAAUGGGAGUGGAAAAUCCAUUACGUGACGGUAACUAACCAGAAAGGGACGGCUAACUACGUGCCAGCAGCAGC